AUGAUAGUGGAUCAGUGUGCGUUAGUUUUAGUACUGUCGUUUCUUCAGUCAAUAUUCAGUUUAUCAGUUUUCAGAGACUACAUUUAUCAUUUCAGUACUUUAGUCUUCAUUUUUCAGAUGACAUACAUAGCUGGGAAAUGGAUUGAAUGGGGUGUCAAGUGGCGUCGGAUCCCACCAUGGUCAUAUACAUGCUGUGAAAUCAGCGAUACAACUUGCAAAAUCAUUUUUUUUGCGGGGCCAGCGCCAACAAGCCCGCUGACAGCGGCAUCGCUUCCAGUGGCUGUAGCAGCCAAGCAGCUGCAUGUUGUCGGUGGGGCUCAAGGCAGAGCUUUGGACUUGAAGGUUUCCUACACAUUCACAAGUUGGCAUUCAGUUUUAUUUAAUUAUGGGCAAAUAGUUAUCAUCUAG
rnacentral:rRNA from 1 species